ensembl:lncRNA
UUUUUUUUUUUCUGUAAAAAGCUAGGAUAUGUUGAAUAAUAUUAAUUUGUUGCUUUGCCAGAUUUUGAUCUGCACGAUACCUCCUGCCAUUUGAAGGCUGUUUAGUAAAGUGAUGCUAUUCUGAAGCUUUUGAUUUGUUCUCAUGUGUGAAUUUGCAGCACUCCACAUCUGCAAAUUACAUCAGUCCACAUUGCAGCUGAAAACUUUUUAGGUUACAACCUCUCUGUGUCACGGUAUGGUGAGAUCAGGCUGGAAGACGAAAAUGAAGAAUACAAUAAUACUUUAAUAAAUCCACACCAAACUAGAACACAAGAGACAUGAAGUAAUAUGAGGGGCAGACAGGUGAGCACAAUGAAGGCGAUUAACUAAUAAUGAGUACAAGAACAACCAAAUAAGGACACAGAGGGAGAAACAAUGAUCAACAGUCCACAGUGGUGUGACAGACAGGUGGAGGUUCCGGCAGAGGAUGGAAUUCCCAGGAGAAGGACGACUAACAGAGUCCAGGGUGGUGAUGACAGAGGGAGGAGCAAGGCAAGACCCAGGCCAUAGCCAUGAUAGCAGCCCACGAUGGAACCGAUGGAGGGAGGAGCCAUGGUGGAGGAAGGGCUGACAACUCCAGGGGGCCUACCGACGGUGGCGGAGCAGGUGGUGGAGGAGCCCGAGGCAGAGACGGAGAGCCGAUGGGCGACGGGGAGGAUCCGGAAGGCCACGGUGAAGCUGGAGCGACAGAGGUGAGCCAGAGGGAAGGAGGAGCCUGACAGAGGAUGAGGGACGGAGGGAUGAGGCGGAGCCAGAGGGAUGAUGGAGCCCGGUGGAGCUGGUGGACUGACGGACCAUGGUGGAGAUGAUGGAGCUAGGAGCCAUGAUGGAGCCACUGGGUCUAAGGGCCGAGGCGGAGUCAGGGACUCAGAGGCUGGAGGAGAAGAGGGAUCCACCAGCCAUGAUGCCAAUGGAGACUGGCAGACCCACGGUGAUACCACCGCACAGAUGGUGGGCUGAGGGUUAGCAAAGGAGCAGACAAGAAGCAGCGGCAAAGUGGCAGAUGAUGGCAGGGCUGAGGCAUCAGUAAUAAUAUGAGGCAGGAGAGGGCGGGCAGGUGGGGAUUUGUGAGUGUCCGCAUAUAAAUCCAUGUUAAAGUCCAUAGAUUCCCCAGAGUUCAGCGGCAGCUCACCCUCAGCAUUGGUGCAGUGGUCGGGGCUCAUUUCCAAGCCCUCGUGCUCCCUUGCAUCUGCACGCUCAUUUGCCGGCUCAGACAUCUGGUCAGACGGUCCAGCUCAAGCUCCAAGGUGAUUCCUCAGCUCGGUCGCUCUCUUCGGUGAUGGCUCAUCAGUCCCGGUGGGCUCUGGUUCUCCAUCUGCGGUGGGCUCUGGCUUAGGCUCCGUGCAGCAGGGUGAUGGUUUGCUGGGCUCUGGGUCUGGAGUGGGACUGGUGAGAUGCUCCUCGGCGGGUCCAGUGGUCAAAGGUGAGUUGUUGCUCUCCAGCACCCACUCCACAAAUGUGGCAAAUGAUUCCCGAGGUCCACCUCCGGACAGCUGCGCUCUGCACUCCUCGUUGAGGCUUCCCAGGUAGAAUGUGCAAAGGCUGCUGUCCAUGUUGCUGGAAUGAUUGGUGAUCUCUACAAAGAUUGCCGAGUGGACCUCAAGAGGCAUCUCCUUCUGCUCCAGCAGCAGGAGAAGGACAUCUGGAUGGUGGCCGAGUUGAAAGAGGGGAAGGAGAUCUUUUAAAUAAUCCAUGACAAAAAAAUAAAAACUGGGAAAAAGUGAAAAAAAAAACAGAAAGGAGAGAAUAUACUUUUAAAAAAAAAUUAAGGUUGGUUAUUCUAUCAAUGUAUGUUCUGUGAGAUCAGGCAGGACGACGAAGAUGAAGAAUACAAUUACACUUUAAUAAAUCCACACCAGGUAAAUCCAUACAGGGUAGGCACACAUGCACGGAGUAACAUCCAAAAUAACCGAC